GCCCUUAUCGCUCAGUGGUAGAGCGUCAGUCUUGUAAAUUGAAGAUCCGCAGCUCAAUCCUUCGUGAGGGCA